rnacentral:tRNA from 1 species
GCUGGGGUGGCCGAGCGGUUUAAGGCGCUAGCCUGCUAAGCUAGUGGGGCAUGUCCCCGCGAGGGUUCAAAAACAAAACCUUUCUUAGAAAGAAAGUUUUGUAUUUUGCGACAAAGUCGCAAUACUUGGAACUUCAGUUCCAAGAUUCAAAGAAUUGCAAUUCCUUCGGAUUUGCCUUUCGUGAGAGUCCCUCCCCCAGCGCCA